GGCAUGAUAGUUUAGUGGUUAGUACAUUUGCCUCACACCUCUGGGGUUGGGGGUUCAAAUCCAACCUCUGCCC